GUAGGUGGCAAGCGUUGUCCGGAAUUAUUGGGCGUAAAGCGCGCGCAGGCGGUUCUUUAAGUCUGAUGUGAAAGCCCACGGCUCAACCGUGGAGGGUCAUUGGAAACUGGAGAACUUGAGUACAGAAGAGGAAAGCGGAAUUCCACGUGUAGCGGUGAAAUGCGUAGAGAUGUGGAGGAACACCAGUGGCGAAGGCGGCUUUCUGGUCUGUAACUGACGCUGAGGCGCGAAAGCGUGGGGAGCAAACAGGGAUUAGAUACCCUGGUAGUCCACGCCGUAAACGAUGAGUGCUAAGUGUUAGGGGGGUUUCCCGCCCCCCUUAGUGCUGCAGCUAACGCAUUAAGCACUCCGCCUGGGGAGUACGGCCGCAAGGCUG
rnacentral:rRNA from 1 species